AGCAGCCGCGGUAAUUCCAGCUCCAAUAGCGUAUAUUAAAGUUGUUGCAGUUAAAAAGCUCGUAGUUGAAUUUCGGGAUCAAUACGUCGGUCGUACCUCGGUACGUACUAACGUUAUUGAUUUCUCCCUUCUGACGAACCGUGAUGUCAUUAAUUUGGUGUUACGGGGAGUUAGGACUGUUACUUUGAAAAAAUUAGAGUGUUUAAAGCAAGCAAUCGCUCGAAUACAUUAGCAUGGAAUAAUGAAAUAGGACGUUCGAACCUAUUUUGUUGGUUUUUAGGAUCGACGUAAUGAUUAAUAGGGAUAGUUGGGGGCAUUAGUAUUCAAUUGUCAGAGGUGAAAUUCUUGGAUUUAUUGAAGACUAACUACUGCGAAAGCAUUUGCCAAGGAUGUUUUCAUUAAUCAAGAACGAAAGUUAGGGGAUCGAAGACGAUCAGAUACCGUCGUAGUCUUAACCAUAAACUAUGCCGACUAGGGAUCGGAUGAUGUUAAUUUUUUAAUGACUCAUUCGGCGCCUUACG
rnacentral:rRNA from 1 species